UACAGAGGUCCCAAGCGUUGUUCGGAAUCACUGGGCGUAAAGGGUGCGUAGGCGGUAGUGUAAGACUUAGGUGAAAUCUCCAUGCUUAACGUGGAGCUCGCCUGGGAGACUGCAUUACUUGAGGAUUGGAGGGGAGACUGGAAUUCUUGGAGUAGCAGUGAAAUGCGUAGAUAUCAAGAGGAAGACCAGUGGCGAAGGCGAGUCUCUGGACAAUACCUGACGCUGAGGCACGAAGGCCAGGGGAUCAAACGGGAUUAGAUACCCCGGUAGUCCUGGCAGUAAACGGUGCACACUUGCUGUGUGAGGGAUCGACCCCUUACGUGGCGAAGCCAACGCAUUAAGUGUGCCGCCUGGGGAGUACGGUCGCAAGACUAAAACUCAAAGAAAUUGACGGGGGCCUGCACAAGCGGUGGAGUAUGUGGCUUAAUUCGAUGCAACGCGAAGAACCUUACCUGGCCUUGACAUGCAGAUAGUAGAAGGGUGAAAGCCCGACGAGUGAGCAAUCACAGUCUGCACAGGUGCUGCAUGGCU
rnacentral:rRNA from 1 species